CGAACGGGUGAGUAAAGCAUCGGAACGUAUCCUAUAGUGGGGGAUAACCUAGGCGAAAGGGCUAGGCUAAUACCGCAUACGCCCUGAGGGGAAAGUGGGGGGAACUCGCAAGAGCCUUACGCUAUUGGAGCGGCCGAUGUCGGAUCAGCUAGUUGGUGAGGUAACGGCUCACCAAGGCGAUGACGCAUAGCCGGACUGAGAGGUUGGCCGGCCACAUUGGGACUGAGACACUGCCCAGACUCCUACGGGGGGCUGCAGUAACGAAUCUUCCGCAAUGCACGAAAGUGUGACGGAGCGACGCC
rnacentral:rRNA from 1 species